GGCUCAAUGGUCUAGUGGUAAGAUUCGCGCUUCGGGAACUGUUUCUUCAUUGCGCGAGAUCCCGGGUUCGAGUCCCGGUUGAGCCC